rnacentral:tRNA from 1 species
GAAAUCGCUAAGUUGGUUAGAGUCCUGGUCCGUCACGCCAGAAGUAGCGGGUUCGAACCCAGCGUA